GUCUGGGUGUUGUAGUUGGUUAUCAUGCUAGUCUCACACAUUAGAGGUCCUUGGUUCAAAUUCAAGCCUAGACA